rnacentral:rRNA from 1 species
ACGGGUGAGGAAUACAUGGGAAUCUGCCCAAUCGUGGGGGAUAACGUAGGGAAACUUACGCUAAUACCGCAUACGACCUUAGGGUGAAAGCGGCGGACCGCAAGGCGUCGCGCGAUUGGAUGAGCCCAUGUCGGAUUAGCUAGUUGGCGGGGUAAAGGCCCACCAAGGCGACGAUCCGUAGCUGGUCUGAGAGGAUGAUCAGCCACACUGGAACUGAGACACGGUCCAGACUCCUACGGGAGGCAGCAGUGGGGAAUAUUGGACAAUGGGCGCAAGCCUGAUCCAGCCAUGCCGCGUGAGUGAAGAAGGCCUUCGGGUUGUAAAGCUCUUUUGUCCGGAAAGAAAAGCUUUCGGUUAAUACCCGGAAGUCCUGACGGUACCGGAAGAAUAAGCACCGGCUAACUUCGUGCCAGCAGCCGCGGUAAUACGAAGGGUGCAAGCGUUACUCGGAAUUACUGGGCGUAAAGCGUGCGUAGGUGGUUCGUUAAGUCUGAUGUGAAAGCCCUGGGCUCAACCUGGGAAUUGCAUUGGAUACUGGCGGGCUAGAGUGCGGUAGAGGAUGGCGGAAUUCCCGGUGU